rnacentral:rRNA from 1 species
AUGGCUGACCCAAGUCAAGUGAUAGUGGUGUGGAAUGUACGCGGCUUGAAUAGCCCGGCGAAAUGCAAUGCAAUAAAUAAUGUCAUUUCGAGCUCGGGCGCGAGUGUAGUUUGUCUUCAGGAAACGAAACUCCAAGACGUAAACAUAAUGGUGGUGCGGCAAUGUCUUGGCCCGGCCUUUGAUGUGUUCUUUUACGUGCCAGUGAUUGGCACUUGUGGUGGUGUCCUAUUGGCAGCCAAAUCUGCAUGUGCGCAGUUGACAAAUCCACACAUCACGCAAAACACGGCCACGGCGUGGGUGCAGUUCCAGGGGUCACCCGGUUGGUGGUUAACUGGGGUCUAUGGACCCCAGGAGGAUACGGACAAAGUGCUUUUCAUGCAAGAGCUUAAGGAUGUCAGAGAAUUGCAUGCAGGCCCCUGGAUGCUUGCCGGCGACUUCAAUCUGAUUUCGGACCCGUCGGACAAGAGCAAUGACAGGAUCAAUCGUCGGAUGAUGGGCCGCUUUAGGAGAUGCAUUUCGAACCUCAACAUGAAGGAGCUCUAUCUCAAUGGCCGUAGAUACACUUGGUCUAAUGAACGGAGGGAGGCCACUCUCGAAAAGCUUGACCGGGUUUUUGUUUCGGUGGAGUGGGAGGCGAUGCACCCUGCAUCUUUCCUCUCUGCGCUCAGUACCAGCACAUCAGAUCAUUGCCCAUUACAUCUGGUACUUGAGGCAAACCUACCACGGGGGAGACGCUUCCACUUUGAGGCUUUCUGGACGAGAAUUGAGGGCUUCCAAGACGUGGUCAGACAAGCGUGGGGCAGUCAACCAUUCAUACAAAACCCGUACAAAUGA